UACGUAGGGUGCGAGCGUUGUCCGGAAUUAUUGGGCGUAAAGGGCUCGUAGGCGGUCUGUUGCGUCGGGAGUGAAAGCUCAGGCUUAACCCUGAAAUGGCAAUUGAAUACUGUCGGGCUGGAGGUUUGGAGGGGGACUGGAAUUCUUGGUGUAGCAGUGAAAUGCGUAGAUAUCAGGAAGAACACCCGUGGCGAAAGCGGCUCUCUGGAACGGUACUGACGCUGAGACGCGAAAGCGUGAGGAGCGAACAGG
rnacentral:rRNA from 1 species